rnacentral:tRNA from 1 species
AGGAAGUUAGUCCAAUUUAAGACCCCUGAUUUCGGCUCAGAAAAUCACGGUUAAAAUCCGUGACUUCCUU